AUAUGAUAGUAUUCUGCCUUCAUUCCCCUGAGCCUGAUUAAUUUCCAGUGUUCCUAAAGUGUUCUUUCUUCUUCUUAUCCACCUAGGUGACUUCAGUUUGCUAAGCAGCAGCUUCUCCUGGCAUGAGCCACUGCAGAUCUCCUCAUCAGACGGGCUGAGACUAUCCUGUGUGCCCUGCACUUGGAGUAAGGAGAACACAGCAAGGUUGGUCCAACAGCCUUCCUGGAGUAUGACUCAGAAAAAGAAGGACCACAGCACCACACUGGCAAGAGAGUUUAGAGGAAGAUUGAUGAGGCUGGACCCUUGCUUCAGGUUUGGAGGCAAGUAGACUAAAUACAGAGAUGCCAGACAGCCACUGAGGCCCAUGGACAGUCCUGCACUCACGCUGAUCUGUCGAACUUUAAAAGUUCCUAGUACUAUGCAACCUUUGCCAGACGAAAAGAAACUGAUGCCGAGAAGGCAUACUCUUCAAUACUGGGA
rnacentral:lncRNA from 1 species